GAUGAACGCUGGCGGCGUGCCUAAUACAUGCAAGUCGAGCGAAGCGGGGACGGGUGAGUAACACGUGGAUAACCUCCUAUAAGCCUGGGAUAACUUCGGGAAACAGGAGCUAAACCGGAUACUUAUAGGUAGAUCCUCUCUGCAUUAGCUAGUUGGUAAGGUAACGGCUUACCAAGGCAACGAUGCAUAGCCGACCUGAGAGGGUGAUCGGCCACACUGGAACUAAGAAACGGUCCAGACUCCUGCGUGAGGCAGCAGGAGGGAAUCUUCCGCAAUGGGCGAAAGCCUGACGGAGCAACGCCGCGUGAGUGAUGAAGGUCUUCGGAUCGUAAAACUCUGUUAUUAGAGAAUCGGUACCUAAUCAGAAAGCCACGGCUAACUACGUGCCAGCAGGCGCGGUAAUAC
rnacentral:rRNA from 1 species